CAAGGAGUCAAUACUAAGAACAAUGACCAUAUUAAUUUGAAAAUAGUAGGCAGGAUGGUCAUACAGUACAGUUUAGGAUUAGGAGUCAUACACCACUUAGUAAACUAAUGAAAGCCUAUUGUGAAUGACAGGGUUUGUCAAUGAGACAGAUCAGAUUCCAAUUUGACAGGCAACCAAUAACACAAACACAAAUGGUGGAUGAAGAUACAAGUGAUGUGUUCCAAGAGCAGAUAGGAGGUGUCUAC
rnacentral:lncRNA from 1 species